UACGUAGGGUGCGAGCAUUAAUCGGAAUUAUUGGGCGUAAAGGGCGCGUAGGCGGAUGGAUAAGUCAGAUGUGAAAAUACCAAAGCUCAACUUUGGUGCUGCAUUUGAAACUGCCUGUCUAGAGGAUUGACGGAGAAAGGGGAAUUCCACGUGUAGCGGUGAAAUGCGUAGAUACGUGGAGGAACACCCGGUGGCGAAAGCGCCUUUCUAGUUUAGACCUGACGCUGAGGCGCGAG
rnacentral:rRNA from 1 species